rnacentral:rRNA from 1 species
UACGAAGGGUGCAAACGUUGCUCGGAAUUAUUGGGCGUAAAGCGCACGUAGGCGGCUUUGUAAGUUAGAGGUGAAAGCCCAGGGCUUAACCCUGGAAUUGCCUUUAAGACUGCAUCGCUAGAAUUGUGGAGAGGUAAGUGGAAUUCCGAGUGUAGAGGUGAAAUUCGUAGAUAUUCGGAAGAAACACCAGUGGCGAAGGCGACUUACUGGACACAUAUUGACGCUGAGGUGCGAAAGCGUGGGGAGCAAACAGG